CCCGGCUAGUUUUUCUAUGUUAGUAGAGAUGGGUUCUUACUCUUGACCAGGCUGGGCUCAAACUCCUGCGCUCAAGCAAUCCACCCACCUUGGCCUUCCAGCGUGCAAGGAUUACACAGGUCAUCCGGAAGGACUCAGAAGCCUGGGAGAACAGGUCAGCUUUGAUCCAAAAUUGAAAACAUCAGAACAAAGAAAUUCUGGUCCCCUGGUGCCAAAAUGAAAAUGAUAAUACUUAAGAUGGUAAAUGGAUGGCUCUCGAAUAAGGAGUCCUGGUUCUUGUGCCAGAGUAACUGCCAAAAAAUAAGCCCGAUAAAAAUAAGCAAUCGGGACAUGUCAGGGUACACACCAGAUGAGAAACUGCGGCUGCAGCAGCUGUGAGAGCUGAGAAGGCAAUGGCUGAAGGACCAGGAGCUGAGCCCUCGGGAGCCGGUGCUGCCCCCUCGGAGGAUGUGGCCUAUGGAGGCAUUCUGGAAUAAGUUUUUGCAGAAGCCCACCCCCUGGAGGAACAUGACAAAACCAUAUGCCAUUGUUGAAAGGAAGCCCAGAAUAUUCCCAGGUGAUACAAUUGUGGAAACAGGAGAAGUAAUUCCACCAAUGAAAGAAUUCCCUGAUCAACAUCAUUGAAGACUACUUAAAAAUUUCAAAAGCUUAUGAGCUCAAGUGUAUUACCAUAUUACCAAAUUUACUGAAUGUAUUUUCUGGAAAAGUAACUUUAAUAAAGUUUACUCUAAGAAAAAAAAAAA